AGUGAGCGCUGGCGGUAGGCCUAACACAUGCAAGUCGAACGGCAGCACAGUAAGAGCUUGCUCUUACGGGUGGCGAGUGGCGGACGGGUGAGGAAUACAUCGGAAUCUACUUUUUCGUGGGGGAUAACGUAGGGAAACUUACGCUAAUACCGCAUACGACCUACGGGUGAAAGCAGGGGAUCUUCGGACCUUGCGCGAUUGAAUGAGCCGAUGUCGGAUUAGCUAGUUGGCGGGGUAAAGGCCCACCAAGGCGACGAUCCGUAGCUGGUCUGAGAGGAUGAUCAGCCACACUGGAACUGAGACACGGUCCAGACUCCUACGGGAGGCAGCAGUGGGGAAUAUUGGACAAUGGGCGCAAGCCUGAUCCAGCCAUACCGCGUGGGUGAAGAAGGCCUUCGGGUUGUAAAGCCCUUUUGUUGGGAAAGAAAAGCAGCAGGUUAAUACCCCGCUGUUCUGACUGUACCCAAAGAAUAAGCACCGGCUAACUUCGUG
rnacentral:rRNA from 1 species